AUUGAACGCUGGCGGCAUGCCUUACACAUGCAAGUCGAACGGUAACGGGUCCUUCGGGAUGCCGACGAGUGGCGCACGGGUGAGUAAUAUAUCGGAACGUGCCCAGUAGUGGGGGAUAACUGCUCGAAAGAGCAGCUAAUACCGCAUACGACCUGAGGGUGAAAGGGGGGGAUCGCGACACCUCUCGCUAUUGGAGCGGCCGAUAUCAGAUUAGCUAGUUGGUGGGGUAAAGGCCUACCAAGGCAACGAUCUGUAGUUGGUCUGAGAGGACGACCAGCCACACUGGGACUGAGACACGGCCCAGACUCCUACGGGAGGCAGCAGUGGGGAAUUUUGGACAAUGGGCGCAAGCCUGAUCCAGCAAUGCCGCGUGCAGGAAGAAGGCCUUCGGGUUGUAAACUGCUUUUGUCAGGGAAGAAAUCUUCUGGGCUAAUACCCCGGGAGGAUGACGGUACCUGAAGAAUAAGCACCGGCUAACUACGUGCCAGCCGCCGCAGUAA
rnacentral:rRNA from 1 species